rnacentral:rRNA from 1 species
UACAGAGGUCUCAAGCGUUGUUCGGAUUCAUUGGGCGUAAAGGGUGCGUAGGCGGCGCGGUAAGUCGGAUGUGAAAUCUCGGAGCUUAACUCCGAAACUGCAUUCGAUACUGCUGUGCUUGAGGACUGGAGAGGAGACUGGAAUUUACGGUGUAGCGGUGAAAUGCGUAGAUAUCGGGAGGAACACCUGAGGCGAAGGCGGGCUACUGGGCCGAUACUGACGCUGAGGCGCGAAAGCCAGGGGAGCAAACGGG